UACGUAGGGGGCAAGCGUUGUCCGGAUUUAUUGGGCGUAAAGAGCGUGUAGGCGGUUAUACAGGUCCGCUGUGAAAACUCGAGGCUCAACCUCGAGCUGUCGGUGGAAACCGUGUGGCUAGAGUCCGGAAGAGGAGAGUGGAAUUCCCGGUGUAGCGGUGAAAUGCGCAGAUAUCGGGAAGAACACCCGUGGCGAAGGCGGCUCUCUGGGACGGUACUGACGCUGAGACGCGAAAGCGUGGGGAGCGAACAGG
rnacentral:rRNA from 1 species